rnacentral:snoRNA from 1 species
AUAGCAAGCUUGAGGCCAGCCUAGGUUAUGAAACGUUCAAAAAUUGAGAGAGACUCACAAGUGCAGAUAGUGUGCUACAUGAGUGGCAAGCUUUCGCUAAUACUCCACUCUGGCCUGUGAGUGGAGUCUGAUAGUAACUUUGCUACAAGC